rnacentral:rRNA from 1 species
GACGAACGCUGGCGGCGUGCUUAACACAUGCAAGUCGAACGAAGAGCGAUGGAAGCUUGCUUCUAUCAAUCUUAGUGGCGAACGGGUGAGUAACGCGUAAUCAACCUGCCCUUCAGAGGGGGACAACAGUUGGAAACGACUGCUAAUACCGCAUACGAUCUAACCUCGGCAUCGAGGAUAAAUGAAAGGUGGCCUCUACAUGUAAGCUAUCACUGAAGGAGGGGAUUGCGUCUGAUUAGCUAGUUGGAGGGGUAACGGCCCACCAAGGCGAUGAUCAGUAGCCGGUCUGAGAGGAUGAACGGCCACAUUGGGACUGAGACACGGCCCAGACUCCUACGGGAGGCAGCAGUGGGGAAUCUUCCGCAAUGGACGAAAGUCUGACGGAGCAACGCCGCGUGAGUGAUGACGGCCUUCGGGUUGUAAAGCUCUGUUAAUCGGGACGAAAGGCCUUCUUGCGAAUAGUGAGAAGGAUUGACGGUACCGGAAUAGAAAGCCACGGCUAACUACGUG